rnacentral:lncRNA from 1 species
UUGUCUCUCUGACACAUUUAAUGAAGUCAUGUUCACGAGCAGCUUAAUCACAGGACACAGUUUGGUACAUAUUUUGACAGGAAAGCUCUUUGUAUAAACUGAAACAUGUAGCAAAUAUAUAAUUUCAUAAAAUGCCCAUUAUGCUUCCAGGGUGACAAUCUUUGGUUUGAAUCCUUUCAUACCUAUUUACUCAUUUUAAGACAGACUGUUUUGAGUCAUGGUUAACAAAUAAAAAGAUGGUCUUAAGCAAAACGACGUCAAGCCAGUGGUGUAGGGAAUACACCCGCGUGUAGCAAACUCUGAACCAUACGCCCUAUCCGGAAAUCCUUAAGUUCCAGAGGAAUCACACCUCUCUAGCUAAAUAUUAUAUGCCCCCGACAUUCAUCCUGGUUAUAAGCAAAUGAAAAUAAACAAGAAAAAAAUUAAGAGAACUCCUCCAUAAAUCCUACUUUUCUAAAAUAUUGAUAACAUGCUCCCGGUUUGACUCCUGGCUAAUUACCUAA